UCGAAAUACAAAAAGGGCUGUUGCUGGCUUGCUUUUUUCUUGCAUGUGCACGCCUUGUCUUAUUUCUCCUCUGUGCACCAACUGUAGGUCUGGAUCAAGCUUGUGUCUUUUUCAGGUCUAUGUUUUCCAUCCACCAUAAAGUAUGUUUGUAGAAGGUCAUGAUAAAUUUAUA
rnacentral:misc_RNA from 1 species